AACGAACGCUGGCGGCAUGCCUAACACAUGCAAGUCGAACGAGACCUUCGGGUCUAGUGGCGCACGGGUGCGUAACGCGUGGGAACCUGCCCUUAGGUUCGGAAUAACUCCCCGAAAGGGGUGCUAAUACCGGAUAAUGUCUUCGGACCAAAGAUUUAUCGCCUUUGGAUGGGCCCGCGUUGGAUUAGCUAAUUGGUAGGGUAAAAGCCUACCAAGGCGACGAUCCAUAGCUGGUCUGAGAGGAUGAUCAGCCACACUGGGACUGAGACACGGCCCAGACUCCUACGGGAGGCAGCAGUGGGGAAUAUUGGACGAGGGGCGAAAGCCUGAUCCAGCAAUGCCGCGUGAGUGAUGAAGGCCUUAGGGUUGUAAAGCUCUUUUACCCGGGAUGAUAAUGACAGUACCGGGAGAAUAAGCUCCGGCUAACUCCGUG
rnacentral:rRNA from 1 species